rfam:Polaribacter atrinae strain KACC 17473 LPB303_14, whole genome shotgun sequence.
ACUUAGCCCUGAUUGCAGCGGCAUCCUUUUUUUGUUUUUUACAAAAAAAGAUAUAGCGGAAAGCAGGAAAUAGC